UAAGACAUCGCUCCUCUCUAUCCUAGACUCCAGAAUAUGCGAGUAAGGCGUUGGGCCAUUCCGUGAGACUGACGUAAUCGGGAAGCCAACCGGUUGGCAUUUCGUAGGAACGGAAGUCGAGUCGGACCAAUCGGAGGCGUGGGUUCGGCACCCGGUACCUGUGCGGAAAUUUAAAUGAGACAGAGGCGAUAAAGCGGCACGGAGUUAGAACUAUUGCACGGUCAGCCGUUAUUUUCAUAGCAGAUUGACAUCAUCCUCGAUAACCCAUAAAGUCACGUCGACGACAGCCGUCCUAUCUUGGAGAUGUUGGAACCGCAUCAAAGGGCUAGCUACC